rnacentral:tRNA from 1 species
GCUUUCGCAGUGUAGUGGUCAGCGCGCUCGACUCGUAACCGAGAGGCCCGUGGUUCGAUUCCUGGCGAAGGCU